GACGAACGCUGGCGGCGUGCUUAACACAUGCAAGUCGAACGGAAAGGCCCUGCUGCCGGGUACUCGAGUGGCGAACGGGUGAGUAACACGUGGGUGAUCUGCCCUGCACUUCGGGAUAAGCCUGGGAAACUGGGUCUAAUACCGGAUAGGAGCCAUUUUUAGUGUGAUGGUUGGAAAGUUUUUUCGGUGUAGGAUGAGCUCGCGGCCUAUCAGCUUGUUGGUGGGGUAAUGGCCUACCAAGGCGGCGACGGGUAGCCGGCCUGAGAGGGUGGACGGCCACAUUGGGACUGAGAUACGGCCCAGACUCCUACGGGAGGCAGCAGUGGGGAAUAUUGCACAAUGGGCGCAAGCCUGAUGCAGCGACGCCGCGUGGGGGAUGACGGCCUUCGGGUUGUAAACUCCUUUCGCUAGGGACGAAGCUUUUUGUGACGGUACCUAGAUAAGAAGCACCGGCUAACUACGUG
rnacentral:rRNA from 1 species